GAAUUUUGCGCAAUGGACGAAAGUCUGACGCAGCAACGCCGCGUGAGGGAUGAAGGCCUUCGGGUUGUAAACCUCUUUUAUCAGGGAAGAUAAUGACGGUACCUGAUGAAUAAGUCACGGCUAACUCCGUGCCAGCAGCCGCGGUAAUACGUAGGUGACAAGCGUUGGCCGGAUUUACUGGGCGUAAAGAGCGCGCAGGCGGUCGUUCAAGUCGAGUGUGAAAGCCCCCGGCUCAACUGGGGAGGGUCAUUCGAUACUGAUCGACUCGAAGACAGGAGAGGGAAGUGGAAUUCCCGGUGUAGUGGUGAAAUGCGUAGAUAUCGGGAGGAACACCAGUGGCGAAGGCGACUUCCUGGCCUGUUCUUGACGCUGAGGCGCGAAAGCUAGGGGAGCAAACGGG
rnacentral:rRNA from 1 species